AUUGAACGCUGGCGGCAGGCCUAAUACAUGCAAGUCGAACGAGUGGCGGACGGGCGAAUAAUGUCGGAGCAACUGCUUGAUGGAGGGGUAUAACUACUGGAAACGGUAGCUAAUGGCGCAUACCAUCAGAUGUGCCCCCAGGGGAUUAGCUUGUUGGUGGGGUAACGGCUCACCAAGGCGACGAGCCCUAGCUGGGCUGAGAGGCUGACCAGCCACACUGGAACUGAGACACGGUCCAGACUCCUACGGGAGGCAGCAGUGGGGAAUAUUGCACAAUGGGCGCAAGCCUGAUGCAGCCAUGCCGCGUGUGUGAAGAAUGCCUUCGGGUUGUAAAGUACUUUCAGCGGGGAGGCGUUACCCGCAGAGGAAGCACCGGCUAACUCCGUGCCAGCAGCCGCGGUAAUAC
rnacentral:rRNA from 1 species